GGAGAGAAAGAACAGGGCCAAGAAGAUUCGUGGAGUAAAGAAGGUAAGAUAUUAGAUUCAUUUGUAAUGGUUUCUUGAGGUUGGCCUUACCAGUUCUUAAAAUUUCCAAUGUUAUACAAGUCAUUGCUGAUCAUUGAUAUUUCUUAUGCAGACAAAGGCUAGUGAUGCUGCCAAGGGAGGAAAGAAGAAAUAAAUUUUCAAGGAUAUGCCCAUAUCCGCUAAUUGGAUUUUCUUUAAUAGUUCUCAAGCAUUUAGAUAAUUUUGAAUGGAAUCUUUUAUUGUCAUUGUGGAUGUUUAAUUUUUCAUUAUAUGAUUUUGAGCACACUUUGAAGAGGACAAAUUUUGACAAAUUUUGAAAUGUUGAGUAGUUGUACAUUUGCUGUUAUUUUCUUUCACCAACCUGUGUAGCAAUGGUUCUUUUGUUGUUUU
rnacentral:misc_RNA from 1 species